UACGUAGGGGGCAAGCGUUGUCCGGAUUUAUUGGGCGUAAAGAGCGUGUAGGCGGCUUUGCAAGUCCGUUGUGAAAACUCGAGGCUCAACCUCGAGACGCCGAUGGAAACCAUCUGACUAGAGUCCGGAAGAGGAGAGUGGAAUUCCUGGUGUAGCGGUGAAAUGCGCAGAUAUCAGGAAGAACACCCGUGGCUAAGGCGGCUCUCUAGUACGGUACUGACGCUGAGACGCGAAAGCGUGGGGAGCGAACAGG
rnacentral:rRNA from 1 species